AGCAAGUAGAAACCGCCACGGCACUCUGAAACUUUAAUCCCUUGGAGCAAUUUGAGCUCUGCCUGUUUGGAUGACUUCUCCACUAUAUCACGUUACACACAAACUCAAACACUGUGCAUCUGUAAAAGAAUAGGUCUUUUGGAUGUACAUCGUCUGAAUGGGAAUGUUGCUGAUUGUUUGUACCAGGAAAGCUCAGAAGUGAGGGGAAAAAACAUUGUAAAUGGGUUCUCUGUUCACCGAGCUGGAGUUCUACACCGUAGUGUUCUCUUUGAUUGUCUUCAGCCUGUUCACACUGGUCGGAGUUAUGAAGGAAAACUGUACAAGCACCACGGACAGGAACUUCUGGGAGGCCCAGAGUGAGCAGCCGACGCUGGUGUGAACUACUGUAAGUGAGCGCAGCUCCCAGUGGAGCACGGGGAGGGGUUAUUUUGCCACUGUUCCUGGGUCAGCAUCCUGUGUUACUGAAGGCAUAACCUCCUGGACUGCACCCAGUGCUUAUGAAUGGAGGGUGCACAAUGUGUGUGUGACUUAGGAAAUUAGGGAAUAGUUGGAGUUUACGCUUUAAAGCUAGUUAGAGCUUUUUAUUUGUGUAGCUUGUGAGUGUGUGUGUGUGUGCGAGUGACGUAGUUGAUUGUCCUUGGGAAUGGGAGUGUUAAGUGUACUUUGGCUGUAUAUUAUGUUCCACUCUGCAAAGUAGUUGAGUCAUGUUAGGAACAAAACUCAAGAGAUAUCCUUUAUACAUAUCUUUAAUAUCUCUUAAAUUUUUAUGGAGAAAAGCUUCAGGACUGGAACUACAAUAACCUCCUUUGUUGACUGCCAUUCAGGUAUGUUUCUGUGCCAUAUAUAUGUAUACAUGUGCUGGUCAUUUAAUGUUGCUGUGACUAAACAUCAUGCAAAUAGAGAAUUACAUUCAACUACAUUGAUUUGCACGGGUUAAGUAGGCCUAUUGUGGUAAGUCUUCUGACUAUCCUUUUUGCAGAAGCAAGCAUGCCGUUUUUCAGGUCAGCUAAAUAUGGUAACCUCUCCGUGCCUAUAGCAUGUCUUAACUUCUGACCAAACAAGUUUUUUAAAAUCCUGUUCCGAUCGAUGCGUCGUUCAUUUUCAAGCACCAAGCAGCCUACGUCGGCCUCGUAAAAUGUCACCGCAGUCAAGUGCAAGUCAGACUUCUACUUACACCAUCGGGUUGAAGGUGAGGACAGAGAAAUAUUUUUAUUAUUUAUCGGAUUUUAACUUAUAAGAAGAUCGCUUGAACAUGCGCUAGAUAAAGUAACCGGUAGCCACUGCGUUCUGAUUCAGUCCGAGUAGCCUGGUUAGCGCGCAGACCUUCUGUUGUAUAGUCUACCAAAGCUAUGGUCCGACAGCGCUAGUGGAGUUUUUGUACCGGACACUGACAUCUGACGAUAUCUUGUGGCUCAUGAUUGCGAAAACAGGUCUCAUUUUGAAUCUGCGUUCCGAACCCUUACAAACACUAUUUUUACACUUUGUUCAACCCAGAUAACUGGACAGGUUGUACAACUUUAAAGUCAGGUUACUUAGCCUACUCACAGUCAGUGCAUUCUUGACCCAACUUGCGGAGCCGGUUUGACAGACAUAGAUAGGCCCAUGGUUCUUCUCAAGUUUUGACAUAAUUUCUGCGCCUUUUAGUUAGUUCGCGAGUUUAGCGCAGAGCCUCAUGCAGAACGUUUAUCUUUGUCUUCAGUUGCAGUCAUGGUGUGUCAUUCCACUUUAUUACACAUCAAACUCUACUUAUGGACUUUAAUGUUUGGAUUUAUAUGGGAGGGUUUACCUGAGUUAAUACUAAUGCCUAGUGAAAAUGUCAUGCAAAUAGCCUAACUGGAAGUAUACUUACUGUAAAAAAUGUUGAUGUGUUACAUAGCUGUACAUAGGCCACAACUUGAUGGUCCUUCAUAUGCUUGAUAGUUGAAAAUCUUCCCUUGGUUAAUCAUGCACACUUAUUGUUUCUAUGUACAGCGUCCGUACUGUGUGAGUGUAUAUGUCUGUGUAUGUAUGUGUAUGUAUGUUUGUGUAUUUGUGUGUGUUAUGGAGCUGCCUUUCACCAAGUUUGAGUUGGUCUUCAUCUUCAUCGCGUUCACUGUGUUCUCCAUGUUCAGUAUUGCUUUGGUAUGCCAGUUCCACAGGAGCGAAGAACCAGAUCUAAAUGAGCAGUUUUUAAAGGCCCAUCUGAAGAGCCUGAGGAGGAGAAAGAAACAGAAAGAGAUCACCAUCACAACAGCAUGCCCGCUAAUACAACUGCCCUGAACCUGGCCCAUCGAACCACAAACAUGUAC